rnacentral:rRNA from 1 species
UACAGAGGGGGCAAGCGUUGUUCGGAAUUACUGGGCGUAAAGCGCACGUAGGCGGAUUGGUCAGUUAGGGGUGAAAUCCUGGAGCUCAACUCCAGAACUGCCUUUAAGACUGCAUCGCUUGAAUCAUGGAGAGGUUAGUGGAAUUCCGAGUGUAGAGGUGAAAUUCGUAGAUAUUCGGAAGAACACCAGUGGCGAAGGCGACUAACUGGACAUGUAUUGACGCUGAGGUGCGAAAGCGUGGGGAGCAAACAGG